rnacentral:rRNA from 1 species
UACGUAGGGUGCGAGCGUUAUCCGGAAUACUGGGCGUAAAGCGCACGCAGGCGGUCUUGUAAGUUUGACGUGAAAGCUCCCGGCUUAACUGGGAGAGGUCGUUGAAGACUGCAAGACUUGAGGAAAUGAGAGGGGUGUAGAAUUCCCGGUGUAGUGGUGGAAUGCGUAGAUAUCGGGGGGAAUACCAGUGGCGAAAGCGGCACCCUAGCAUUUUUCUGACGCUCAUGUGCGAAAGCGUGGGGAGCGAACGGG